rnacentral:rRNA from 1 species
CACGUAGGGGCCAAGCGUUGUCCGGAUUUAUUGGGCGUAAAGAGCUCGUAGGCGGUUGGGUAAGUCGGGUGUGAAAACUCCGGGCUCAACUCGGAGACGCCACCCGAUACUGCUCUGACUUGAGUCCGGUAGGGGAGUGGGGAAUUCCUGGUGUAGCGGUGAAAUGCGCAGAUAUCAGGAGGAACACCGGUGGCGAAGGCGGGUCUCUGGGCCGUAACUGACGCUGAGGAGCGAAAGCAUGGGGAGCGAACAGG